AAAAAGUGAUUUCCUGGUCCUCUUCCCCGGAUGGCGUGUGCGAUUUCCCUCACGCCCAUGGGAAGUCCUUCAGAUCUUUCUUAUCUGGAAACCUCUCCACCAAGUGGACAGACUUGUUUAGUCAAUGCCCCUAGUUCUCACUUUCCUUUCUCCAAAGAAAAAAAUCAGAAAAGCAAAACCAGAGCAAACCAAACAUAGGUUAGAGCUAAGGAGAGGUACAAGAUGCCUGGUUUCAACUUAAAAGAUGACCACUAAAUUAGAUUGUAAUUUCAGAGUGAAGGAAAAUGAAGACCAGCGAUGAAUUCUUUGUCUUUAGCAGUGCCAAGAAAGCAGAGAAUAAAAGAAUCCGCAGAAGAGAAGAGAUCUAAAGAAGUUGUUCAGUCCUCCCCCGCGGGAGGGCUGUACCUCAAAAAUGCCACAUUGGAGGGAUGUCCAGUUCUCCUAGGUUUCCAGGGAAACUCCAGAGGAAACUGAGGCCCAAGGAGAAACCUUCCCAAGGUCAGAACGCAGAUGAAAAAUGCUGUUUGACUCUCUACUCUGGAGCUCUGCCCACAGAAAAUUUGAUGAAUGGCCUGGAAUCGGCAUUGGAAAUAAAUGCUUCAGAUACUGAUUCUCAGCUGUAGUCUACAGCUUGGAUUGGACACACCCUGACUUAAGAAACAGCCUGCUGAGGGACACAGUUCCUGGGCAAAUGCUGCCUGUUUUCCUGCUUGUGUUUUGGUUGCUGGGUGCAGCAGGUUCUCUAAUAUGGAAUGGGCGUUGUCAAAGUGACUGUCCCUUUCCUUCUCUGAGGAGCAAUUCUUCUCGUCCACGGGUCCCUGCUUGUUGUUAGGAACACUGUGUGCUUGCUGCGCACACAUUACAAUGAAAACAAAAGCAAAUAAAAAAGGGAACCACCAUAUGGCCUCAGCGGCAACCCAGAAUGAACUGUGGAUGGAGAGACCCUGCCCCGUCGUAGCUACGGCUGGAAUUGACUGUCACAGAGGCCGUUUUCCCGAAUCCUAAAACGUUGGUGUUGGUGGCUGAACCCAAACUUCUUCAACCAAACUGCAAAUGUAGUCAGAAUAAUUCACCAGUCAGGUUAUCUAUGUUUCUUAAUAUGAAAUAUCUCUCAUGACUGUAAGGUACAGUCUCAUUAGAGACAAAGCUCCUACUUUCUCAUGAAGAAAUUUCAGCACCAAAUAAAUACGUAUUUUCCAGCAUGUUC